ACCGCUGUGCACGGUGAUUCAGCCUCCGCACGAACUAGCAGCCGCCACAGAGCCACGCGCUCCGCUGCGUCCAUGCCAGAUGCUCCAGCGCCUCUCCUGUCUUGUCUCGGUGGAGAUGGGAGGUCGAACGAAACGGACGAAACGACUACGGACUCCAGUAGAUCUAGGACGAUUCUGCCACGUAGCGGUUCGUGAAAUUUUCCUUUACAAUUUCUCGCCCGACGAUCGAGCAGCACACAGUCAUCCCUAGGCCCUACACCCCGCCGCUGCUGCCGCCGCCCGCCCCAUCUCCGGUCACCGGUCAGUCGCCCCUUCGCCGGCCAACACGCCGCGCCGCGAAUCCUCCUCUUCCCCGAACGCGCUGGCGCGCCUCCCCGGAGCCUCCCACGACCGCACGCACGGCAAGUCAUUUGCUGAAGACAAAUAUUUAGGAAGUAAUCUCCACGAUUCUUCGCUGGUUAGAUUAUUAUCAAGGUCUCAACAACGCAAUCCUGCCACCCUGCUACUGCUAGUGCUAGCGAAGGGGGCAGCAACGCUCACCGAGCCGGGGAUGUCAGCAUAAACAAGGCAGAUAUCGUUGAGCCCGCCAACGAAAUCGACCCUCCCAUGGAUCACAGCAUAGUGGACAAUUGCGUCGACGCAAAUCCGACAAUGGAGAAAUCAAUUCCUCCUUGGAAGAGAAGUUUCCAACUGCCCACAAACGAGAGACAGGGGGCAGAGGCAGAGGAAAUUGAAAACCUCCAUGUUCAGAUCAGUCCUCUCAAAUGUAAGCUGAACAAGGUACCGUAUUAUCGUUCUAUAUGCGAUGAAAGGCAGCAGGUUGAGGUCUACCGCCGGCUCUCCCGGUACUACAUCCAAGCCCAUGAGUUACCCUCGCCCGGAGAGGAACCAGAUAAUGCACAACUGAGCAAGGAAUUGGAGCGUUGUCUGGAUGCUUAUGAAAUAAAUUUCCUCCAGCGCGCCAAAGACAAUCCUGAAUGGUACUUCCAUCCUGAACAAUGCAAGCUUGCCGGCUUGGAAGACUACCAGCGGCUAGUGCUUCGUGAUCAUGGUAUGUAUGGAGAUUUGAAGCAAUACCGCCUGUAUUAUCAUACCUACCAGGGAGAUGUAGAGUAUGUCCAGUUCCGUGAGCAGAUGGCGGAGCAAAUUAAGUGGAUUGACGACGAAGCAGCACUCUUCGGCGAUCAGCGGCUGAGAAACGAGCUAGAGGCUUUUCUUCAAACACUGAGGAUUGCGAUGCGGUUUCCGAAUAUUUCCGGACGCUCAGUUGUCUCUGCCUUACGUGAGCAUCUAUAUAGCCUUCGGUUUGACUUUAACCACCGGAAGGACUUGGACGGUGUCUAUCUUGAGAUAUGGAAACGGGUUGCUAGGAAUAAGAUGAACUUCGGUGACGCUUUGAAGCAAUUGUAUGAAGAGAACAUUUUCCCCUUCCGCAGGCCUGACAUCAAAUUAGCACUCGAUAGCUAUCCAGGCCCCAGUUGGAUAAAUUCUUGUUAUGAUACCUACGUGGCUGGCAUUGAUGAGGGGUUCUCAGAAGACGAAGCUCAUCCCUUGAUCAUAGAGGCCGUUGAGAAAAUGUGGAUGCCAAUAUUACUUUCAAGUUGAGAAACGGAAGAACUAUUUGGAUUACACCAGAAAGAAAUUGGAAAUCGCAGCACGUAUAGGUUUGAAAACCUAGAGGUCACUGCACAAGGCAGGAAAAACCAUGGUGAUGGGAAGGCUGCGAUAGUGAGCCGAGGGAAGCUAUGCCAUGAAUAAAGAAUGGCCCAUGGUGCUGGUGCUGGUGCUGAACCUGCUGAUUCCACCCUGUGCUCUGUCGCAUGAGCUCCUGGUUCCUUUGUGAUGUCAUCACCUCUAUCUAUGCGCUCCAUGUAUCCAGGCCAUACACUUUGGAGCAGAUGUAUUCGUCUUUCUGCCGGUGAGUGCCAGAGUCCAAUUCACCUUGGCUUCUCUGGAGCAGAUUGACUACUUCACUACUUGACCUCCCACAUGGGCUCUAAGGUACUGAUCUUGUCAACAUUGCGGUUUGUGAUGAUCUUGUCUUAUGUUCACUAGUACAACAUAGCAAUAUAGCAGUGUCCCAUGUCUGCUAUUUGUGGAUGUAAUGUAAGUGGAGUCAUAGCCUACUCCACAGCCCAUCGAUGGAGGUCAGAUUUGGUGCGUCCUAAUCCUAGUAAUAUAUACACAUUUUUGCGCGC